rnacentral:rRNA from 1 species
GUCUACGACCAUACCACCCGGAAAACACCGGUUCUCGUCUGAUCACGGAAGUUAAGCCUGGUCGGGCGAAGUUAGUACUUGGAUGGUGACCGCCUGGGAAUACUUCGUGUUGUAGACU